GGGGCUGUAGCUCAGUUGGGAGAGCGCACGGUUCGCAUCCGUGAGGUCGGGGGUUCGAAUCCCCCUAGCUCCA
rnacentral:tRNA from 1 species